CACGGAGUUAGCCGGGGCUGCUUCCCUCGAUACUGUCACCUCGCCGACGUGUUCGGUCGGCGAGAAUUCAUCUCGGUCGAAAGGAGUUUACGACCCGAAGGUCUUCAUCCUCCACGCGGCGUUGCGUCGUCAGGCUUGCGCCCAUUGCGAACAAUUCCCCACUGCUGCCUCCCGUAGGAGUCUGGGCCGUGUCUCAGUCCCAGUGUGUCCGUCCGCCCUCUCAGGCCGGAUACCGAUCGGAGCCUUGGUGAGCCGUUACCUCACCAACUAGCUAAUCGGACGCGGGCCCCUCUCCAAGCGCCAGGUCUUGCGAUCCCCGGCUUUGAUGUCCGUGUAUCCAAACACGGGAUGCCAUGCGGUAUUAGCCCUCCUUUCGGAAGGUUAUCCCCCACUCGAAGGUAGGUCGCCCACGCGUUACUCACCCGUUUGCCACUCUACUAAUCCCUUGCGGGACUUUCGCGUUCGACUUGCAUGUGUUAGGCACGCCGCCAGCGUUGAUUCUGAGCCAGGAUCAAACUCU
rnacentral:rRNA from 1 species